GACGAACGCUGGCGGCGUGCUUAACACAUGCAAGUCGAACGGAAAGGCCCUGCUUUUGUGGGGUGCUCGAGUGGCGAACGGGUGACUAACACGUGAGUAACCUGCCCUUGACUUUGGGAUAACUUCAGGCAACUGGGGCUAAUACCGGAUAGGAGCUCCUGCUGCAUGGUGGGGGUUGGAAAGUUUCGGCGGUUGGGGAUGUACUUGCGGCUUAUCAGCUUGUUGGUGAGGUAGUGGCUUACCAAGGCUGUGACGGGUAGCCGGCCUGAGAGGAUGACCGGCCACAUUGGGACUGCGAUACGGCCCAGACUGGUACGUGAGGCAGCAGUGGGGAAUAUUGCACGAUAGGCGGGGGCCUGAUGCAGAAACGCCGCGUGGGGGAUGACGGGAAUCGGGUAGUAAACCGCUUUCGCCUGUGACGAAGCGUGAGUGACGGUAAUGGGUAAAGAAGCACCGGCUAACUACGUG
rnacentral:rRNA from 1 species